GCGGUCUCUAUCGCAACGCCGGAUUGGCUAAGCGGCGUCGGGAAGGUGUCCGCCGAUUGGUUGUGUCCGGGUGCUGUUGCUAUGACUCCGUUGCUAGGGCCUCGGCCGUCUCCAGGCCCUGCAGGAAACAUCUCAGGCCUUCACUAAUGGUUUCAAUAGCCUUUGGCUGAGGAGAGCUUCCCUGUGAGUGCCAUAUCUAUAACGUGCCUGCUUCACACAAGUGCGAAACUGGAUGUUGUUACUCACAGAUAACUCUCCAGCUGGAACUCCCCACAUGAACAAAGCCUCUGAUGUUUCAUACCUGAAUAAACAGGGAGAAGUAAAUCACUUAAGCAAGAGCUCUGAGAUGAAGAUGGCAUAUAUCCACCCUCCUGUGAUUCAGAGUAGAAUGACACCUUAUUUCUAGGAUUAUUAAACAAAAUAUUCUGUUGUGUAAAAACCAAUGAGCGCUAAAAAAAAUAAAAAAAUAAAAAAUUAAGAAAGUCUAUCAAAAACUGCAUACAGGAGGAGAAAACACUCUAAACUCUGGCCAUUAGGCAGUCCCUAAAAAAAGGUUCAGCUGCAAUGGCCCUUAUGUUUUAUUAUUUUCUAUUAUCAAAAUGUUUUCUGUUGAAUAAAAUGGUUAAGGCAAAACUGUACUGCCUAUCCCACCCAUUCCUGACAGAGCAUUCAUCAAACUCCAUUAGAAAAAAAAAUAAAUCCGGGCUAUAGAUGUGUCAUCAGAGACCCAAUGAUGCUGAGAAAUGUCUGAGAUGCAGUUUGCUGAAAACACUAUAUUAACAUUUGUGUAUAUGGAUGUGUUAAUUUUAUGAUUUUGGUUAUGUGCAACAUACAUUAAAAUGAAAAAUGUGUUAA